rnacentral:ncRNA from 2 species
AGAUUUUGAUGAGGCGCAUUAAACAUGAGUAAAUAUUAGGCAACUGUCUGCUAACAGCUAAUAUUGAAAGGGGGCAAUGCCGAAACGAAUGGUAAUAGCAGGUAUCAUUUGU